rnacentral:rRNA from 1 species
UCGCGCCAUCAGAGAGUUUGAUCCUGGCUCAGAUUGAACGCUGGCGGCAGGCCUAACACAUGCAAGUCGAGCGGAAACGAGUUAUCUGACCUUCGGGGAACGAUAACGGCGUCGAGCGGCGGACGGGGUGAGUAAUGCCUGGGAAAUUGCCCUCGAUGUGGGGGAUAACCAUUGGAAACGAUGGCUAAUACCGCAUAAUGCCUUCGGGCCAAAGAGGGGGACCUUCGGGCCUCUCGCGUCAGGAUAUGCCCAGGUGGGAUUAGCUAGUUGGUGAGGUAAGGGCUCACCAAGGCGACGAUCCCUAGCUGGUCUGGGAGGAUGAUCAGCCACACUGGAACUGAGACACGGUCCAGACUCCUACGGGAGGCAGCAGUGGGGAAUAUUGCACAAUGGGCGCAAGCCUGAUGCAGCCAUGCCGCGUGUAUGAAGAAGGCCUUCGGGUUGUAAAGUACUUUCAGUCGUGAGGAAGGUAGUGUAGUUAAUAGCCGCAUUGCUUGACGUUAGCGACAGAAGAAGCACCGGCUAACUCCGUG